GACGAACGCUGGCGGCGUGCCUAAUACAUGCAAGUAGAACGCUGAAGAGAGGAGCUUGCUCUUCUUGGAUGAGUUGCGAACGGGUGAGUAACGCGUAGGUAACCUGCCUUGUAGCGGGGGAUAACUAUUGGAAACGAUAGCUAACACCGCAUAACAAUGGAUGACACAUGUCAUUUAUUUGAAAGGGGCAAUUGCUCCACUACAAGAUGGACCUGCGUUGUAUUAGCUAGUAGGUGAGGUAACGGCUCACCUAGGCGACGAUACAUAGCCGACCUGAGAGGGUGAUCGGCCACACUGGGACUGAGACACGGCCCAGACUCCUACGGGAGGCAGCAGUAGGGAAUCUUCGGCAAUGGGGGCAACCCUGACCGAGCAACGCCGCGUGAGUGAAGAAGGUUUUCGGAUCGUAAAGCUCUGUUGUAAGUCAAGAACGAGUGUGAGAGUGGAAAGUUCACACUGUGACGGUAGCUUACCAGAAAGGGACGGCUAACUACGUGCCAGCAGCCGCGGUAAUACGUAGGUCCCGAGCGUUGUCCGGAUUUAUUGGGCGUAAAGCGAGCGCAGCGGUUUGAUAAGUCUGAAGUUAAAGGCUGUGGCUCAACCAUAGUUCGCUUUGGAAACUGUCAAACUUGAGUGCAGAAGGGGAGAGUGGAAUUCCAUGUGUAGCGGUGAAAUGCGUAGAUAUAUGGAGGAACACCGGUGGCGAAAGCGGCUCUCUGGUCUGUAACUGACGCUGAGGCUCGAAAGCGUGGGGAGCGAACAGGAUUAGAUACCCUGGUAGUCCACGCCGUAAACGAUGAGUGCUAGGUGUUGGAUCCUUUCCGGGAUUCAGUGCCGCAGCUAACGCACUAAGCACUCCGCCUGGGGAGUACGACCGCAAGGUUGAAACUCAAAGGAAUUGACGGGGGCCCGCACAAGCGGUGGAGCAUGUGGCUUAAUUCGAAGCAACGCGAAGAACCUUACCAGGUCUUGACAUCCCGAUGCUAUUUCUAGAGAUAGAAAGUUACUUCGGUACAUCGGUGACAGGUGGUGCAUGGUUGUCGUCAGCUCGUGUCGUGAGAUGUUGGGUUAAGUCCCGCAACGAGCGCAACCCCUAUUGUUAGUUGCCAUCAUUCAGUUGGGCACUCUAGCGAGACUGCCGGUAAUAAACCGGAGGAAGGUGGGGAUGACGUCAAAUCAUCAUGCCCCUUAUGACCUGGGCUACACACGUGCUACAAUGGUUGGUACAACGAGUUGCGAGUCGGUGACGGCAAGCUAAUCUCUUAAAGCCAAUCUCAGUUCGGAUUGUAGGCUGCAACUCGCCUACAUGAAGUCGGAAUCGCUAGUAAUCGCGGAUCAGCACGCCGCGGUGAAUACGUUCCCGGGCCU
rnacentral:rRNA from 1 species